GCCCGGGUGGCGAAAUGGUAUACGCACAACACUUAAAAUGUUGCGCCGCAAGGCUUGCGAGUUCGAGUCUCGCCCCGGGCA
rnacentral:tRNA from 1 species